rnacentral:rRNA from 1 species
AUAGAGACUCAGAGCUGCAUAUCAAUAAGCGGAGGAAAAGAAACUAACUAGGAUUCCCUUAGUAACGGCGAGUGAAGCGGGAAGAGCUCAAAUUUGAAAUCUUCAAGGUUCUACCUUGACGAAUUGUAGUUUAAAGAAGUGUUUUCUGUUAGGAGUUGAGUACAAAGUUCCUUGGAAUAGGACAUCAUAGAGGGUGAGAAUCCCGUAUUUGACCAUUAUUUCAGCUGUGUGAUACACUUUCAAAGAGUCGGAUUGUUUGGGAAUGCAGUCCAAAAUGGGUGGUAAAUUUCAUCUAAAGCUAAAUAUUGGCGAGAGACCGAUAGCGAACAAGUACCGUGAGGGAAAGAUGAAAAGAACUUUGAAAAGAGAGUUAAACAGUACGUGAAAUUGUCAAAAGGGAAGCGUUUGACACCAGUGUUGUUUUCUCGAAAAUCAAUUACAAAUGGCUGGAUUUUGUGUUGUAUUGACCUUAUCAGCUUUCUGCACUUUUUUCUAGUCUUUUCCUAAUGCACUUUUCGUUUAACAAGUCAACAUCAAUUUCUUUUGUUGUAAAAGGGUCAUUGGAAGGUGGCUUUCUUUUCGGAGAAAGUGUUUAUAGCCUUUGGCCUCUGCAAUCGGAGAGAUUGAGGUCUGCAGCGUAGAUCCUUCGGGGUUAGAUACAUUUGUGCUAAGUUAUAGCCUUUCAUAGACAACUUGUUGACUAUGAUCAGUCAUGUAGCUUACUCGCUUAUGCUAUUUUACCUACGCUUAGGAUGUUGACGAUCAGCUGAGCGCG